rnacentral:lncRNA from 1 species
GGGGGGAAGCGGGUUCAGGGCUGGGGAGGCUGCAGGAUGGUGGAGCUGGCAGGAGUUUGGUGGGAAUGAGAGGGAGCCUUGGGGGGUUGGGGAGAUAGUGGUGGAGGGAGAAGGGGUGAAAAUGUAUGUGAUUGGCAUUUUCGGGUUAUUUUUUGGGGUGUUUGUUAGGUAUAUUUUGAAAAAACUAUGUUUACAUAGGAGAUAUUUGGAAAAAAUUAUUUCCUAAGCAGAUAGCUUAUCCUAAAAAAUGUAAAGAAAGAAUCUGAGCCUGUAGAGAAGGAAUAGGGAGUAAAAGGAAUGACAAAUAGAGAGAGAACAGUACAAGAAUGUAUUCAAGCUAGAGCAGAAGGUUUUACAAGUUCUGACAGUCAAAAAAUAAAUAAAGAGCAUGUAAAUAC